rnacentral:ncRNA from 1 species
AAUUAGUUUGAUUCUAGCUAUUAUAUUAGCUUGUAUGAAUUAUUACAUGUAAAAUUUUAUAAAUUUAAAAUUAGUAUCAGUAAUAAGUAUUUAUUUAGUAAAAAGUUUUAUAUAAGAUAUUUUAUAAAAAUAGAUUAAUGUUGUGCCAGCAUUCGCGGUUAUACAAUUUAUUUAUGUUAAUAAUUUAGGUUAAAAAUUAAUUUUAAAAAAUUUAGGUUUAAUAAUAUUUGAAUUUAGGUGGAAUUUAUUUUUUUAAAUAAAACCUAUUAGUUAGUUAUUUAUAAAUCAUAUUAGUAAACUAGGAUUAGAUACCCUAUUAUUUUGGCUUAUGCUAACAGGACAUUAGUAGUUAUUUUCUAUAAAACUCAAAGAAUUUGGCGGUGAUUUAUAUCUUUUUAGAGGAAUCUGAUCUUUAAUCGAUAAACCACGAUAUGUUUUACCUUUUAAUUAUUUGUAUAUCUCUAUGUAAUAGAAUGUUUUAUAAAGAAUAUUUUCUUUUAUUCUUUAAUAUUAUUUUAGGUCAAGGUGCAGUUUUUAUUAUGGAUAGCUUGGGUUACUUCAGUUUUAUUUUUAAAUUUAGUAAAUGUUUGUUUAAAAUAAUAUUUUUAGGAUUUAAUAGUAAUUUUAAUUACUUUAUUAAUAUGAAUUUAGUUUUAAUUCAUGUACAUAUCGCCCGUCACUCCUAAUUAAAGGAUAAGUCGUAACAAAGUAAUUUUACCGGAAGGUGAGGUUAGUUAAAG